rnacentral:rRNA from 1 species
UACGUAGGGUGCAAGCGUUAAUCGGAAUUACUGGGCGUAAAGCGUCCGCAGGCGGUUUUGUAAGACAGAGGUGAAAUCCCCGGGCUCAACCUUGGAACGGCCUUUGUGACUGCAAAACUAGAGUACGGCAGAGGGGGAUGGAAUUCCGCGUGUAGCAGUGAAAUGCGUAGAUAUGCGGAAGAACACCGAUGGCGAAGGCAAUCCCCUGGGCCUGUACUGACGCUCAUGGACGAAAGCGUGGGGAGCAAACAGG